GACGAACGCUGGCGGCGUGCUUAACACAUGCAAGUCGAACGGAAAGGCCCUGCUUUUGUGGGGUGCUCGAGUGGCGAACGGGUGAGUAACACGUGAGUAUCAUGCCCUUGACUUUGGGAUAACUUCAGGAAACAGGGGCUCUAACCGGGUAGGAGAUCCUGCAGCGUGGGGGUGGUUGGAAAGUUUCGGCGGUUGGGGAUGGACUCGCGGCUUAUCCGCUUGAUGGUGGGGUAGUGGCGUACGAGGCGUAUGAAGGGUAGCCGGCCUGAGAGGUUGAACGGCGACAUGGGUACUGAGAUACGGAGCAGUCUCCAACCGGAGGCAGCGGGCGGGAACAUUGCACAGUAGGGGGAAGCCAGAUGCAGCAACGCUGCGUGCGUGAUACCGGCCUUCGGGUUGUAAACCGCUGUCGCCUGAGACGAAGCGUUAGUGACGGUAAUGGGUAAAGAAGCACCGGCUAACUACGUG
rnacentral:rRNA from 1 species